UACGUAGGGGGCAAGCGUUGUUCGGAAUGACUGGGGGUAAAGGGUGCGUAGGCGGUGUAGCAAGUUAGAAGUGAAAUACCUAGAGCUUAACUCAGGUGCUGCUUCUAAAACUGCUAUACUUGAGUGCAGUAGAGGAAAGUGGAAUUCCUAGUGUAGCGGUGGAAUGCGUAGAUAUUAGGAGGAACAUCAGUGGCGAAGGCGACUUUCUGGACUGUAACUGACGCUGAGGCACGAAAGUGUGGGGAGCAAACAGG
rnacentral:rRNA from 1 species